UAGCAGAGGGGCAAGCGUUGUUCGGAAUUACUGGGCGUAAAGGGCGCGUAGGCGGCGCGAUAAGUCAAAGGUGAAAUCCCUCAGCUCAACUGAGGAACUGCGCCCGAUACUGGUAGUGCUUGAGGAGGAUAGAGGUGAGCGGAACUAGCAGUGGAGCGGUGAAAUGCGUUGAUAUUGCUGGGAACACCCGUGGCGAAAGCGGCUCACUGGGUCCUUUCUGACGGCUGAGGAACGGAAAAGCUAGGGUAGCGAACGGG
rnacentral:rRNA from 1 species